rnacentral:rRNA from 1 species
GACGAACGCUGGCGGCGUGCUUAACACAUGCAAGUCGAACGGAAAGGCCCUGCUUUUGUGGGGUGCUCGAGUGGCGAACGGGUGAGUAACACGUGAGUAACCUGCCCUUGACUUUGGGAUAACUUCAGGAAACUGGGGCUAAUACCGGAUAGGAGCUCCUGCGGCAUGGUGGGGGUUGGAAAGUUUCGGCGGUUGGGGAUGGACUCGGGGCUUAUCGGCUUGGUGGUGGGGUAGGGGCUUACCAAGGCUUUGACGGGUAGCCGGCCUGAGAGGGUGACCGGCCACAUUGGGACUGAGAUACGGCCCAGACUCCUACGGGAGGCAGCAGUGGGGAAUAUUGCACAAUGGGCGGAAGCCUGAUGCAGCAACGCCGCGUGCGGGAUGACGGCCUUCUGUUUGUAAACCGCUUUCGCCUGUGACGAAGCGUGAGUGACGGUAAUGGGUAAAGAAGCACCGGCUAACUACGUG